rnacentral:rRNA from 1 species
UACGUAGGGUGCGAGCGUUGUCCGGAAUUAUUGGGCGUAAAGAGCUUGUAGGUGGUUUGUCGCGUCUGCUGUGAAAAUCCGAGGCUCAACCUCGGACUUGCAGUGGGUACGGGCAGACUAGAGUGCGGUAGGGGGAGACUGGAAUUCCUGGUGUAGCGGUGAAAUGCGCAGAUAUCAGGAGGAACACCGGUGGCGAAGGCGGGGUCUCUGG